AGAGUUUGAUCCUGGCUCAGAAUGAACGCUGGCGGCGUGCUUAACACAUGCAAGUCGAGCGAGAAAGUCCCUUCGGGGACAGGUACAGCGGCGGACGGGUGAGUAACGCGUGAGAAUCUGCCCUUUAGUGAAGAAUACCCUCGAGAAAUCGAGGUUAAUGCUGCAUACGUCCCUUCGGGGAGAAAGAUGGCCUCUUGCUGUCGCUAAAGGAUGAGCUUGCGUACUAUUAGCUUGUUGGUGGGGUAAAGGCCUACCAAGGCGAUGAUGGUUAGCCGACCUGAGAGGGUGAUCGGCCACACUGGAACUUAGACACGGUCCAGACUCCUACGGGAGGCAGCAGUGAGGAAUAUUGCGCAAUGGGCGAAAGCCUGACGCAGCAACGCCGCGUGAAGGAUGACGAUCUUCGGAUUGUAAACUUCUGUUAAGUGGGAAGAAAAGCUUGUCUAUAAUACAGACGAGAAAUGACGGUACCAUUAGAGAAAGCACCGGCUAACUUCGUGCCAGCAGCCGCGGUAAUACGAGGGGUGCAAGCGUUAUUCGGAAUAAUUGGGCGUAAAGGGUGCGUAGACGGCAUAUUAAGUCAACUGUUAAAUACCUCGGCCUAACUGGGGACCGGCAGUAGAUACUGAUGUGCUAGAGGAUGGAAGAGAGGAGUGGAAUUCUCGGAGUAGCGGUAAAAUGCGUAGAUCUCGAGAGGAACACCAAUGGCGAAGGCAGCUCCUUGGUCCAUAUCUGACGUUGAGGCACGAAAGCGUGGGGAGCAACAGGAUUAGAUACCCUGGUAGUCCA
rnacentral:rRNA from 1 species